UUCCAGACUCCUACGGGAGGCAGCAGUGGGGAAUAUUGCACAAUGGGGGAAACCCUGAUGCAGCGACGCCGCGUGAGCGAUGAAGUAUUUCGGUAUGUAAAGCUCUAUCAGCAGGGAAGAAAAUGACGGUACCUGACUAAGAAGCCCCGGCUAACUACGUGCCAGCAGCCGCGGUAAUACGUAGGGGGCAAGCGUUAUCCGGAUUUACUGGGUGUAAAGGGAGCGUAGACGGCUGUGCAAGCCAGAUGUGAAAGCCCGGGGCUCAACCCCGGGACUGCUCUUGGAACUGCGUGGCUGGAGUGCAGGAGGGGCAGGCGGAAUUCCUGGUGUAGCGGUGAAAUGCGUAGAUAUCAGGAGGAACACCGGUGGCGAAGGCGGCCUGCUGGACUGCAACUGACGUUGAGGCCCGAAAGCGUGGGGAGCAAACAGGAUUAGAUACCCUUGUAA
rnacentral:rRNA from 1 species